GCGUGCUCUUGCCCGUGUCUGAGCUCAUUUGAGGGGCGGAUCUCUGCUCACUGCUCACUGCUAUGGGAAAGCAGCUUUGCAAGAGGCGGACUCUUGCCUCCCUCCAUCUGUGAAGCCUUCUUCAUGCCUUUCAAACAUGGUCCCAGUUGAUAAAACCCAAGUGCACAGUUUCCAGGGGUGCAGCUACUGGGUGAAGUGAAGCGGAACCAUGAAGAGCUGAAAUAAAGGUGCCAGGCACUUUCCCUGUUAUCUCCUGAUCAGUGAGGAAACUGGAGUUCACAGCAAUGGACUGGAUCACAGGCCCCGAAAGAAUUGGUGUUCUAACUCAAG